rnacentral:misc_RNA from 1 species
UCUCCGUAGGUGAACCUGCGGAGGGAUCAUUACAGAGUUCAUGCCCUAACGGGUAGAUCUCCCACCCUAUGUUAUCAUCACUUUGUUGCUUUGGCGGGCCGUCAGGCCUCGGCUUGGCUACCGGCUCUCGCUGGUAAGCGCCCGCCAGAGAACCCCAAACCCUGAAUAUCAGUGUCGUCUGAGUACUAUAUAAUAGUUAAAACUUUCAACAACGGACCUCUUGGUUCUG